UUGCUUACGGCCAUAACAGGAAUUUUAUCCUAAUAUGCUACAACAUAACUAAAACUAUUGUAGUUUUACAUAAGGAGAUGUUCGUAUUUAUGGAUGUGGUAAAGAUUUAUCCCUGGAAAAAGCAUAGGGCAUUUUUUUAUUUUUUUUUUUUUAAAAGA